rnacentral:tRNA from 1 species
GGUGGCUCAGUGAUAGAGUGCUUGCCUUGCAUGCAUGAGGCCCUGGGUUCAAUCCUCAGCACCA